rnacentral:misc_RNA from 1 species
CGCCGCCGGAGAAGCCGUUGCCGGGGGAUUGUUGCGGGAGUGGAUGCGUUCGAUGUGUGUGGGAUGUAUAUUACGAAGAGCUUGAAGAUUACAACAAGCUUUGCGAGAAAGGUUCGGCGCCCAAUUCAUGAGAUUUCAAUUGAGCCCCAGUUUUUAAAAACUGUAUUUGAAUCUGUUUCUUGUUGUAAACUCAUUGAAUUCAAAUUGAUUCUGUAUCAG